UACGUAGGGUGCGAGCGUUAAUCGGAAUUACUGGGCGUAAAGCGUGCGCAGGCGGUUUUGUAAGCCAGGUGUGAAAUCCCCGGGCUCAACCUGGGAACUGCAUUUGUGACUGCAUCGCUGGAGUGCGGCAGAGGGGGAUGGAAUUCCGCGUGUAGCAGUGAAAUGCGUAGAUAUGCGGAGGAACACCGAUGGCGAGGCAAUCCCCUGGGCCUGCACUGGACGCUCAUGCACGAAAGCGUGGGGAGCAAACAGG
rnacentral:rRNA from 1 species